ACCGGCGGGCGGCAGUCUCGCCUUGGCCGCCCGCCGGACCUCUACACAUACCUUCUCUCCCGCUGUUUUGAUUCGGAGUUAGCAGAAGCAUCACAUAUUGAUCCACACACUGCCAUACACACAGACACCACAACACACACAUGGGCUGAGGGCUCUGGCUUUCUUUCUCUUCAGAAGGAAGCUAGGGCAUAGAAAAACACUGCGAUUUUCUGUGGGGAAGAUCAGCGUCUGCUUCACCGGCCAUGAUGGAGUUCUUUGUCCAUCGUCAUUUCCGACCCACUCGACGAUCUGGGUCACUCCUUCUGCUGCGUCAGACCCGACCCGAAUCAUCUUUCUUCCUCCACAGUCCACUCGGAGGAGACCACACUUUCCGAUCAAUCUCCGGCGCCUCCGUCAGCGCCAACACUUCAACCCCUCUCUCCACAGCCUUCGUCGAUCUCUACAGCUACAACAGCUUGGAUCGAGCCUCGGCUUUCGAGAGCCGGCAAAAAGGCAACACUGAAAGUACCUCCCAAGCACGGGCCAUGCUCUCACCUGAGUCUAGACAAAGCCCAUGCCCCAAAUGUGACUCAGAUCCUCUCCAAAGACCAAUCCCGAGUCAACAUAAUUCACUUUCGCCUUAACUCCAACUCAGCACAAAACAAUAUACUGAACUCCUCCAAGGCCACUCUCCCAGUAAACUCCGGCGCCUCAAUCGGCACCGGUAACUUCAUCGUCACCGUCGGACUCACCCUCCUCUUCAACACCGGCAGUGACCUCACUUGGACUCAGUGCCAGCCAUGUCUCGUCUCGUUCCGACGAUCGUCGUAACCCAUCAUUAUAAACCCAGAUGGACCAACGUUUUUCUGGGCACCCGCGUAGAUCCGGCUUUGAGCAGAAAUUGGAAGACACCAGGGUAACCGAUACCUUGCUCCAACCAAUCCAUUUGCAAAGGAGGUGACAAAAAGGGUGGACACUGCUGCAAGUCAAUGGAAGGGUUGGAAUUGGAGAUCGGAGGGUGAC